GUGUCAGCCGCCGCGGUAAGACGGAGGGGGCAAGCGUUGUCCGGACUUACUGGGCGUAAAGGGCCCGUAGGCGGCCCGGUGCGUCGGUGCUGAAAGCGCCCCGCUUAACGGGGUGAGGCGUGCCGAUACGACCGGGCUCGAGGCAGGCAGAGGGUGGCGGAAUUCCGGGUGUAGUGGUGAAAUGCGUAGAGAUCCGGAGGAACGCCUGUGGCGCAAGCGGCCACCUGGGCCUGACCUGACGCUGAGGGGCGAAAGCGUGGGGAGCGAACCGGAUUAGAAACCCCGGUAGUCC
rnacentral:rRNA from 1 species